GUGUGUGCCUGUGAAUGUUUGCGCAGGCAUGUGUGUGUGUUCCUGUGUGUGUUUGUUCCUGUGUGAGUGAGUGAAAGAAGCAGAGCAGUAGAGUGUGUGUCUGUGUGUGUGUGUGUGUGUGUGUCUGUGUGUGUGUGUGUCUGUGUGUGUGUGUGUGUCUGUGUGUGUGUGUGUGUGUGUGUGUGUCUGUGUGUGUGUGUCUGUGUGUGUGUGUGUGUGUGUCUCUGUGUGUGUGUGUGUGUGUGUGUGUGUGUGUGUGUGUGUGUGUGUACGUGUGUACG
ensembl:lncRNA